AUUUAUGGACACAUGACUCAACAUGAGUAAAAAUUAAUCUAAUUUAUUUUAUUCAAUUACAAAACUAUGCCACUAGAAAGGUUAUAUGUGUCGGCCGACUAGACUUCUAGGGCAUACAUCUAACAUCAACUAGACAUUUAGAUCCUCUAUUGGUCUAUAAAAUUUUUAGAGACAAAAAUCCAUAAAGAGAGAAAGAAUCUAGAGUGAGAAAUUUUUAAAGAAAAGUAGAGAGAGAAAAUAGAUGGAAACUCAUAGAGAGAAAAUGGAGAAAGAAGGU
rnacentral:lncRNA from 1 species